rnacentral:rRNA from 1 species
CAAUAGCGUAUAUUAAAGUUGUUGCAGUUAAAAAGCUCGUAGUUGGAUUUCUGGUGGGAGCGAUCGGUCUGGCGCUUAGCGCGAGUACUUGCAUCGUCUCCGGCCAUCCUUGGGGAGAGUCUGUCUGGCAUUAAGUUGUCGGGCAGAGGAUCCUCAUCGUUUACUGUGAAAAAAUUAGAGUGUUCAAAGCAGGCUUAUGCCGUUGAAUAUAUUAGCAUGGAAUAAUAAGAUAGGACUUUGGUACUAUUUUGUUGGUUUGCGCACCAAAGUAAUGAUUAAUAGGGACAGUUGGGGGUAUUCGUAUUCCGUUGUCAGAGGUGAAAUUCUUGGAUUUACGGAAGACGAACUACUGCGAAAGCAUUUACCCAGGAUGUUUUCAUUAA